CUCUUGACAUCCAGAGAACUUUCCAGAGAUGGAUGGGUGCCUUCGGGAACUCUGAGACAGGUGCUGCAUGGCUGUCGUCAGCUCGUGUUGUGAAAUGUUGGGUUAAGUCCGCAACGAGCGCAACCCCUAUCCUUUGUUGCCAGCGAUUCGGUCGGGAACUCAAAGGAGACUGCCGGUGAUAAACCGGAGGAAGGUGGGGAUGACGUCAAGUCAUCAUGGCCCUUACGAGUAGGGCUACACACGUGCUACAAUGGCGUAUACAAAGAGAAGCGACCUCGCGAGAGCAAGCGGACCUCAUAAAGUACGUCGUAGUCCGGAUUGGAGUCUGCAACUCGACUCCAUGAAGUCGGAAUCGCUAGUAAUCGUAGAUCAGAAUGCUACGGUGAAUACGUUCCCGGGCCUUGUACACACCGCCCGUCACACCAUGGGAGUGGGUUGCAAAAGAAGUAGAUAGCUUAACCUUCGGGAGGGCGUUUACCACUUUGUGAUUCAUGACUGGGGUGAAGUCGUAACAAGGUAAGCGUAGCGAG
rnacentral:rRNA from 1 species